rnacentral:misc_RNA from 1 species
AAGUCUAACAAGGUUUCCGUAGGUGAACCUGUGGAAGGAUCAUUAACACCUAUCCAAACGUUAACCCCCUGUGAUCGUACGUCAAAGCGAGGCAAUCCCUGGUAAAUCAUCGCCGAACAGUUUUGAUUCUGGGACUUAAGAGUGUGCAUGUUGAUUCCCAAGCAGUUAAUGUCUGAAAGUGUCAUUUGCUGUGUAAGGAUGACGCAGUAACGAUCGUUGGAGGCCGACACGGCCGACGACCGGUUGGAAGCCCCUUUAUCACCACUUGAUGCAUGACAGACGCGCCAGCACUUAAUUGUGCGGCGACCAAAAACCGAACAACUGUUAACAAUGGAUAUCUUGGUUAUC